UCCAACCUCCUGUUUCUUACAGGACUGGAGCAUCAAUCCUGUCCCAUUGAGGUAUGAGCAGGAGCUUUGUGCUCCAGCUCCACAGGGCCCUUCCUCUCAGUUUCUGAGGUUCCAGCAGCAACCAGAAGAAGAUCAUAGCUGGGUGCUGGCAACAUGAAGAUCUUUGAUGACGUGACAAGAGCAGCCUCCGCAGUGUGAUAGGAAAUGAAACCUGAGCGCAGCGAGGGGGGCAGAGAUGUUGAAAUGAGAAAGUCAUGACAACCUCCACAGAUACCUCUUUCCAGAGGCUUUGCUGUGAAGACUGAAACAACUGGGAACUUAUGUGGGAUGAAGAGCUGCCUCCGGUGGUCUCGGCAGUGUCUCAAGUCUCCCGUCGGGUAGAUUCUUGCAGAAUGAGGCUGGAAGUGCCACUCAGAGGAUCUGAUUCUAACCUCUGCAUAAGCAAAAACCCAGGCCUUGUGUUCCUCAAUUGGGGCCUGGGCUCUCAUAUGCCACUUAUUUUUUCUUAAGUGGAGCAAAGAUUGUGUCAAUAAAAGCAAAGAAUACUUGUUUCAUAUAUAUUUAAAGCUGACGAGUACUUUGUAUAUCACAUUAAGUAGGAAAUUGCUCCAGCCACACUUUGGUAUAUGCGAAUUUGUCAAUCCAUGCUUCUUGUUGAAAAUUUCCUAAGUCAUUGUCCUAAAACAUUUUAAGUAGGAAAGGAUUAUUUGUCAUGAUUGCUGAAAAACUAUCUUUGAGGGAGCACAGCGUCAGAGGUCCUUUAAUUCACUUGGUGGUUAAAAUGUGGGCAAGCACUGAAAGUAAUAUGAAUUCAGACUAAAACAAGAGAUGUGAGUCCAUUCUACUCUCUACUAGACAGAUGCCAUUUAGAGCAGUGCCCAACCUGGGUUUUCUGGACCUCUGAGGAGUUGAAGGCACAGACUUAUUUAACAAUAUCUAUUACUCAGUAUGCAUAAUGAUUACUGCUAUAGUCUGAUGAAAUAAAAGUAUCAGUUCUCUAAUGUCGAAGGUCUAUACAAUUAUUUUUUUAAAGGAAAUCCUUAUAUUCCUAAACUGUUAGUUCCAGUUGCCAUAUUUAAAUGGUGUUAAUAUACAGACAAACGUAAAGACAUUUGGAAGACGAUGAACAGGGCCAACCUAGUUUAAUAUAGUAGGAAGAUCACUGGUUUGCGUUAGAAUACUUAUAUUUCUGGUCUCAGCUUUAUCACCCAUUGUGUGUGUGAUCUUGAUGAAUUGACUUUGUUUCUGUAAAACAGAUAGCACCUGAAAAUGGCUCGCCUAAUGUGGUAGGCAAAAUUGUAGUAUGCUCCUCACAAUUCCCCCUCCCUGUAUCAUGCCCUCCUUUUGAGUCUGGGGGGCACCUGUGAAUAUGAGGGAAUAUUACUCCUAUAAUUAUUGAUAUUAUGUGUUAUUUAGAGAAGAUGAAGGGAUUGUAAUGAUGUAAUAAUGAUUAACCUUGGGGAAAGGGGUAGCAAUUGGAAGAAAGCGUUGUGCAGCUCCUGGGUGCAGACAACACUCUCUUUCUUGAUCUGGACACUGGUUAUUUGGGUGUGCAGUUAAUGUGAAUUCUCAGAGCUAUAAUGUGUGUACUUCCUGGAUGUUUAUUGUGUUUCAGUAAAACAUCAAUGCAUUUAUAUGUACUUUAAAAAGGGUAUUUUUCUUUUAAAUUAUUAAAAAUAUCUAAAUGAUAAAAAACACAGAAUUAUUUGAACA